AAACCAGCACCUCAAGUGGUCAGGAUGAUUAUUGGGCCUAAAGCAUCCGUAGCCGGCUCUGUAAGUUUUCGGUUAAAUCUAUAUGCUCAACAUAUAGGCUGCCGGGAAUACUGCACAGCUAGGGAGUGGGAGAGGUAGACGGUACUCGGUAGGAAGGGGUAAAAUCCUUUGAUCUAUUGAUGACCACCUGUGGCGAAGGCGGUCUACUAGAACACGUUCGACGGUGAGGGAUGAAAGCUAGGGGAGCAAACCGAAUUAGAAACCCCGGUAGUCC
rnacentral:rRNA from 1 species